rnacentral:rRNA from 1 species
GAAUCCCGUCUUUGGCACGGAUGUACCGGGGCUUUUGUGAUGCGCUCUCGAAGAGUCGAGUUGUUUAGGAAUGCAGCUCAAAAUGGGUGGUGAACUCCAUCUAAAGCUAAAUAUUGGCGAGAGACCGAUAGCGAACAAGUACCGUGAGGGAAAGAUGAAAAGCACUUUGGAAAGAGAGUGAAACAGUACGUGAAAUUGUUGAAAGGGAAACGCUUGAAGUCAGUCGCGUCGACCGAGACUCAGCCUCGCCUCGGCUUGGUGUACUUCUCGGCUGACGGGUCAGCAUCAAUUUUGCCCCUUGGAUAAUGGCGAGGGAAAUGUGACACCUUUGCGGUGUGUUAUAGUCUCUCGUCACAUGCAAGGGUCGGGAUUGAGGAACUCAGCACGCGCCUUUGGGCGUCGGGGCUUUGCCCACGAUACGUGCUUAGGAUGCUGGCGUAAUGGCCUUAAACGACCCGUCUUGAAACACGGACCAAGGAGUCCAACACGCCCGCGAGUGUUCGGGUGGAAAACCCGUGCGCGUAAUGAAAGUGAAAGUUGGGACCUCUGUCGUGGAGGGCACCGACGCCCGGACCAGACCUUCUGUGACGGAUCUGCGGUAGAGCGUGUGUGUUGGGACCCGAAAGAUGGUGAACUAUGCCUGAAUAGGGUGAAGCCAGAGGAAACUCUGGUGGAGGCUCGUAGCGAUUCUGACGUGCAAAUCGAUCGUCAAAUUUGGGUAUAGGGGCGAAAGACUAAUCGAACCAUCUAGUAGCUGGUUCCUGCC